ACCACACCUCGUGCCUCCUGUCCCCAUCGCGUUGGUCCGCGUUCCAGUUUCCCCACUUCCGACAACGCAGUGAACAUGCUGGACAAAACCCUCUAAUCAGGCUCUGAGCACGUGGUGCUGAUGAAGGUGAUGACGCGGAGGAUUUUCGGGGUUCCUUCAAUUUCAUGGACCUUUGUCGUUUCCUUAAAAGGGAUUCCUUAAAGGUACAACUAAUUAUGACUUUAACAAGAGUUCUCGUCUAAAUACGUCCACAAAUUAGAAACCACCCUUUCGUUCACACGCCCCUUUUGAGGGCUGAGAAAAAUAUGACCGCCAUAAGGAUGGCAAAGCAAGUCGCCCCAUCAGCAAACGGUGUGUUGACUGCGUCUCUGUGUGUGCUCGCUGCUGGCUCUCAAAGAUUUCUAGCCCUAAUUUCACCAUUUUUCAGAGUACUUUUUUACACAUGAUAUUUCAUUAGAUAUUAACACGGUGACUAUUGAAGGCAAAAACCCAGUAUCCUCAGCUCAUCGGUGAACUCGUUCAUUCGUUUGCUCAGACUGCGACCUCCCACGACGUUGUCACGUGGCCUUUCUCUCCCUUCCCUCCGAGUCCCUAAUGCUACUGGAGAAAUCGUAUAACCUUGCAUAUUGGUGUCAUUUUUCUAAGCAGUAAUUAUUUAAUAUUACCAAACGUUCAGUUAGAGUUCAUCUUUCCAAUUGUCUCAUAAAAUAAGUUGCUUCCCACCGUGUGUGUAGGAAUCAUACAAGUAGUCCUUCCAUAAUGUGACCGAUGUGUCUCUUAAGCCCCUGUUAAUAGAUUGAUUUUCUUCCCAUUUCUUUUUUUCUUUUCCUCUUUGCGAUUUGCUUAUUGUAAAAACCAGGUCGUGUGCCCGGCACUCCCCUGCAGACUGGACUUGCUGAGUGUGCCCCUUGUGGUGUCUCUUAGCGUGUUCCUUCGCCCUUUGUAUUAUCUGUAGCUCGGAGGCUGGGUGCAGGAGCUCGGGCAGAUUCUGUUGCGUGGGGGUCGGGGAUGCUCAGGAAGCACUUGUCUGAUUGUCCCUCCUUGUGAUGUAGCAGCCAUCGCUCACCCGUGCCGUCACCCUCCCCCAAACUGUUAUGUUCUAUCAUUCCUUCUUCAUCUGUAGCUAAAAUUCUUCCAGAAACAGAAAAUUCCCAACGGUGACAUAAACAAAACAAGUAGAAUUGGAUUCUCUUCAUUUUGAACUCAGUGAAUUUGUCCAUUGAUGUCCUCCAAUGGGGACCAAUUAGUUUUUGGGUUGGGUUGUUUUUUGUUUUUGUUUUUGUUUUUACUUUUUUUUUCCCCUUGUGAACUCAUAUUUGGAUGUACACAUACUCGAUGUCCAGUCCGCUGUAAUUCUAGCCUUUCUGGUGCUCAAAAUGUACCUUCUCUGGCCAGCGGGAACCUCUUCGAGUUGGCGCCUGGUUUUCUUCACAUGACUCCAGUGGCCUUUGAUCUGUUCCUUGCCUUCUGGUGUGACAGUACCAGCCCCAUCUUGUACAUUUUCUGCUCCUAAGACCCGGAACCAAUCAUUUCUCCAAGAAGCCCUGGUUCUUUUUGGUGGAAAAAGGAAUUUCAGGACCACAGUUGGGUGCUACGAUGCCUGUGACUUUUAACCUCAUGAUCUCAGAGCUUCGCUGCCUGAGACAGUUACAUGGUUAAACUCAUUUUCUCUAAGACAGUUAUUUCAGCCGUCUGCUCCUUGAUCACACAUUCCCGCCCUCGGCAGCCUUCCUGGCCUUACGCCUCCCUGAGAGAGAGGAGCCCUCAUCUUCCUUCACUGAACCUCCCGCAUCGUCGUCUUCCCGGCAGUGAUGGAGGACCAGUUCCCGCUUCCCUCCACACAUGCUGGGACCCCACCCAUCUUUCCUCCCCGAGGACUUUGUUCCUUCCCAUAUGCCCACCCAUCUCUUCCUCUCUCCUGGAUCAUUCCCGUCAGGUUACAGGUAAACAUCACCUGGGCCCAUCUCUCCUCUUGACCACUGUGACCACCCCGCCACUGGACUCUGGCAGUACCUGCCCUGCUUCCUCUCCCCACCGUAUAGCACGCAUGGCGAGUCCCGUCCCUGAUGCACUUGGGCGAGGUCCCCGCUCUUGCUGCCCUGUCCUCCCACCCGCCGGCCUCCAUUCCUUCCUCAUCCCCGAGUUCCAGGCAUGCUCCCCUUGCUUAGUCCCGUGCCUGUAUGUCAAGCCCCAACUCAAAAUGCCAUUGUCCACUGGCUGGGUCCCUCUCAGCAAUCUUUCCCCAGCCUACGUAGGACCCUGCAAAGGGAUGCGCAUUUCCCUGUUCUCUCCCCUCUGAAUCCUUCCCACGUCGGUGCUUUCCUUGGUCGCCUUCACUCAGAAUCUUGCAGAUCAACGCCGGACUCCAGAACCUGAUGGCCUGGGCCUGAGUCCCGGCUCCGCUUUCCACACUGGGCGACCCCCAGCCAUUUGCCUAACUUCUCGGUGCCUCGGAUUCUUCACGUCUCAUGCGGACAAGCUGUGAGAAGGAAGCUCGUUGAUAAGUCAAGGGCAUGGAGCGGCGCCCGGCACCACAAUCGAAAUUUCAUUUCUAGAAUCGAAACGCUGAUGCACAAGGUACCGGUAACGUAACACAAACUGAGCAGCCGCAGCCACCGGAGGAGCUGGAGGAUGAGAUCAACGAGGUUAAAAUCCACGCGGCGGGCUCCGCAUUCUCCGUCGUCCGCAGCCAGGAGCCCAGGGAAGCGGGGCCGCCCGGCAGGGUGGGCGGUCAUUUCUCUCCCGGUGGCGAGGAAAGCGAGCGAGUGCCGUUCUAGUUCUCUGGCGUCACCCGUCGCAGAAACAGCGGCGCCUCCUGGCCACCGUCCACCCACUUUCCCCGUCUCUUCAUUUGAGACGGACACUUGAGAAAGCGGUUGGGGACUAACGGGUUUGGGGCUGGAUGGCGGGCAGUGUCUGCCCUGUCUUUUCGCAGCCAGCAUCUGGUCAUCACUGUUGUUCUUUGGGCACAGGACUCGAUGCUGCCUUGGCAACGGUUAUCAAUUAAUUUUUCCCACGUUUCAUGUACUUCCUCUGAAGGCGAACCUGGCGGCAUGGGAGGACAGGAACGAUUUCUGAUUUGCUCACGAGAACACCAGAGCCCGAACCGGACGUGCUAUUAGACAGCGGUCCCAGCGCCUCGCCCCGUGUUUGUCUGCUGGGUACGCUCUGCUCUGGUUUCGUGUUUUAUUCUAUCUGGGAGAACUUAUUUUUGCACCACGUAGCUAACGGAUUCAGGUUCCCUCAUGUGCCGUUGACUCAGGCACAGAUCGUUAGUAUUUUCGGCACAGCUCUGGAAAUGAGACCACUUGUCACUGUCCCCAUGGACAUAUUUCUCAGGGAGUAUGGACGAAAAGGGGUGGGAAAUAAAAAGCUGACAGCGGCUGAAAAAAUAUUACAGCGUUUUUGCGGAUCCAGCUCUGUGUCUGUUUUAACCUCAAGAUCGAACAUAAAUCCAGCUAAGAUGUACCAAAAAUGGUAACUGAAAGAGGAUGUCCCAGAGUUUACCGAGCACAAUAAAAAUCAAAAAGGACCUGUUAUCCCAGGUCACUUAGCUUGUCCUUGUCACUUCUGAGUCCCUUUACAGCUUCCGAAAGGACCCCUCGUUGAAAGAGGCGUUGAUUCUCAACGAGGACAUGGCUUUGGCACUACAAAAAUACCUUAUAGUUUGUUUUCAAACGUAUUAGAUUUUAAAAAUCUGCAAUGACUCCAUGCCUGGCUCCAGCUAGGUCUCCCGGAGUGAGCUGAGUGUCUCUGGUGACUGAGCUGUUUUCAGCCUUGAACUCCUUCCCGCCUUCCACGCCCAUACCACCGGUGCCUGCACGUAUCUAUCUAGACAGUAAUAGGGACUAGACAGCCAGGUGUUUUCGUGCUCUUCACAUCCGGAAGCUUUGCUCAUAAUUAGUUGAAUAAGCUUUCUCUGCCCGUUAGGGCCAAGAUCUUCAGGAAGUGGUGAGGAUAUGUACAACUUUCUCUGCCUUCUCGUUUGGUUCUCUGCCACAACUUUUCCCGUUCUUUCCAAAACCCUUCAUACAAAAACGUCAAACCCCACACGGAGCCACACAGGACGGUCGGCUCUGAAGGGAAACACACCUCUCGGAGGAAGGGCUUGCUUGCCUUUCCCCUCACGGCUCAUCCCUUCCCGUUUCUCCUUCCUUUGGCCAAAAGGUGAGAGAUCUUCCCUCUGCCGCACUCAGCACAGCCAUUCUGAGCAUAAAGAGCUCUUGGGUGCUUUUCACAGUGAUGGCACGUAUUAAAAUACCGUGUCGCUCAGACAGCCCGCCUGGGGCAUCAGCUGGAAGCCUCGAGGACUCACUGGAAACGACUUCCCAUCCACUUGUGCAAUGACUCAUCUCUCCCCGUCCGGGACAUCCCUUUAGCUCCUGCGUUAUUAAAGGAGAGAGAAGGAGAAGCAAUUACAAGAAAAAGAACAGGAUGCAGUUAACAAAAGUCUGGUUAGGUGAGGAUAUUGACGUCUAAGAGUGACCCUUUAAUGAGUCACCUAUACCUUUAAAAAUCUGAUGAAAGAUACACCUUCCCCAGGGGAAAAAAAAAAGUAAAAAUAGGCAAAAGAAUUACUUGCCUAUGACCACAUGGGAUUCAUUGAUACACACACCCAAGUACUACAUGGGCCACAGGCCAAGAAUUCCCAUUUCAGAAGCAAGUUAGAAGAAGCUGCUAACAAAAGUACCUCUAGGGGUGGUUGGAAAUUAAUCUUAACUACAAAGAAAUGUGGAGGGCACCAGGAAAUGCAGAGCUAACAGCAUGCAAAAGACGGGGAUCAAGAACUGAGGGCUCCUCAAAGGACCUUUUUAACUCACCAGGGCGGGUUCUCCUGGUGUAGGUAGUGCCUGCCAUUCAUGCUAAUUUGUUUUCCGUUCCGUUAAGACGUGUGGGAGGGAGGAAUAAACCCUUCUGAAUUGCAAUGGAUUGAUCCAUCUGGAAGUGAUUUCAACACAUCAACAAAAGAAUUCAGUCUCACAAAAAUGGUUUGCUUUUAUAAAUUUUUGUUUCGUUUUGCUUCCUCUUGUGGGUUGAUAGUUUUCCAAAUGGUACAUUUUCAAAUACUCCUGCGUCACUAAGGCAGCAUAUUUUCAGACACCUGUUCGGGGUCUGGGUGAACGCAGACUCUGGCUCGGCCACCAGGGGGACUACAGCAGUCAGGACAGGCUGGUGCAGCUUGAGCUGCCUAAGGAACAACUCCAGAUCUGAGUGGCUCAGCGUGGCAGGCAUUUAUUUCUUGCUCAUGCAUAAUCUGCUGUGGUCCCAGGAGCUCUCCAGGCUGUCUCUCCCCAGUGUGUUGGCUCAGUUCUCAGCUGCUUGAACCCUUCAGCUCCUUUAUGUCACCACUGACUCCACUGUCACCGUAGGGGAAGGGCUGGAGAGCGAGCGCCAGCAAUCACAUGCUUCCCCCUGGAGGUGCACGCGUUGCUCCAACUCCUUUCUUUGGCCAAAGAAUGUCACAUGGUGAUGACUAAUUUUAUGGAGAUGGGAAAGCACAGUCCAUCGCGGAGCCCAGAGGAAAUGAGAACCAAAUGAUAAAAGCUGCAAUGUCUGCUGCAGAGACUCUUGGAACAUACUUGAAAAUUAAACUUUGAAGAAUA